CGACGCGGCGUUGCCCCCUUCGCUGUCCUUUCGUCCUUUCCGCCUUCACUCCGCAGCCGUGCUGUCGUGGGUAUGGCGCCUCUCCUCCUUCUCUCGUCCUGUUGCCUGAAAGGGCAACCCUAACGGAGCCCUCCCCGCGUUUCGCGGUGGUGAUGGGAUUGGCCACCAUCAUCCCUCUCUACUCGCCCUCUCUACUCGCUUCUGAGAAAUAGGCUUACCUCAGUAUGUACGGCCAUUUCAUAGAGCUUCUCCUCCACUCCCCUGUAUUCAUCCGAGGCCCCGUUCUAUAAAUACGGUUGUCUCUUCACAGGAUAAACUCAGCGCCCUCUGCACUUUGGACUCCCAGGUAAAUCUGAUUAAUACCUUCCGAAUACACUUUCGUGGUAAUUACAGGGCAGCAGCUUUGCAUCCCGUGGCUUCCUCUCUUCCUCCUUUUUGGUGCUGGUACUUUAUUCCCUCCUUUGUUUACUAGGCUCCACCUUCUUACACAUUGCUCUGUGUUGUUGGUGUUCCUUAAUUUCACCAUAUUGUUUUCCUGUACGAUGGCUCCCCUGGAUUGAUUUUUCUCCCUGCUUCUUAUGUUUUGCUAUUGGAUACAUGCAACUUCUUAACUAAUAUCAUUAUUUUUUUAUACUAUGCUUUUGCCUGUAAGUGUUUCUUACAUCUUUUUUCCAUACUGAAUUUGCAUCGACUUCUCCUCUAUUUUUUUGCUUCUUUUUUCAUACUGAAUGUCCAUACUGAAUUUUCAUACUUUCUCCAUACUGAAUUUGCAUCCUCCCUUUUCCUUCCUAUUUUUUUGCUUAUUUUUACCUGAGCUACCAAGAUAUAGGCGCUUCUUAAAUUUCUAAUUUCCCUGUUGGUUUGAUAUAUGGUUUUUCUCUGAAUUUCACAUUAUCAAUUUGCAGGUUUUUACAUGCUUAAUCUCCAUACCUUUUUCCCAAAUUUUUGCAUACUUUUUUUUUACAUAUUUUGCUUACAGCUAUUUGCAUGUUUAUUGACAUCUUUUGUCUUAAUCUGAUUUUUUGUAAAGUUUGUUUCCUACCAAUUUUCCUAUUCUUAUUGCCACCCUAUUUGGGUAGUGGAGGCAAUGAUGUUUCCACUCUAAUUCACAUACCUUAUUUAUAAAUUGAAGAUACUUUAUUUACAUAUUUUUCUAUUUGAGUAAUGGAGACAAUGAUGAUUGUGCAUAAACAGGGGAAAAAAAGAUAGAGAGUAAGAUAUGUGCCAAUGAUGUUUUUGCUCUAAUUUCACAUGCCUUAUUUAUAAAUUUAAGAUACUUUAUUUACAUAUUUUUCUAUUUGAGUGAUGGAGGUAAUGAUGAUUGUGCAUAAACAAGGGAAAAAAAAGAUAGAAAGUAUGAUAUGUGGCAUGCUCUUAUCCUAUAAGUUUUUUCUUCUCCUGUGUGCUUACAAAAUAUAUUGAUUACUCUUUUUACAUGCUUUAUUUUUCUUACUUUAUUUGCAAUUUAAUUUGCAACUUUUUAUGUGUUUUGUUUGUAUCCUCUGGUGGCUAUGGUUUUUUUGUGCUUUAUUUUACAUCAAUAUUCCUACUGUUAUUAGCACUCCAUGGGAAUUAUGAGGCAGUGAUGAUUUUGUAUAAACAAAGAAGAAAAAUGCGAAAGAUAAAAUAUAAUACGUGGCUAUACUCUUCUCCUACAAUUUUUCCUUAUAUUUUCCCUCUUUUUCACCCUU